AUUGAACGCUGGCGGAAUGCUUUACACAUGCAAGUCGAACGGCAGCACGGACUUCGGUCUGGUGGCGAGUGGCGAACGGGUGAGUAAUGUAUCGGAACGUGCACAGGCGUGGGGGAUAACGUAGUGAAAAUUACGCUAAUACCGCAUACGAUCUAUGGAUGAAAGCGGGGGAUCGCAAGACAUCGCGCGAUUGGAGCGGCCGAUAUCAGAUUAGGUAGUUGGUGGGGUAAAGGCCCACCAAGCCAACGAUCGGUAGCUGGUCUGAGAGGACGACCAGCCACACUGGAACUGAGACACGGUCCAGACUCCUACGGGAGGCAGCAGUGGGGAAUUUUGGACAAUGGGCGAAAGCCUGAUCCAGCCAUUCCGCGUGCAGGAUGAAGGCCCUCGGGUUGUAAACUGCUUUUGUACAGAACGAAAAGGUUUCUACUAAUACUAGGAGCUCAUGACGGUACUGUAAGAAUAAGCACCGGCUAACUACGUGCCAGCCGCCGCAGUAA
rnacentral:rRNA from 1 species